AUUGAACGCUGGCGGCAUGCUUUACACAUGCAAGUCGAACGGUAACAGGCCGCAAGGUGCUGACGAGUGGCGAACGGGUGAGUAAUGCAUCGGAACGUGCCCAGUCGUAGGGGAUAACUGCUCGAAAGAGCAGCUAAUACCGCAUACGAUCUAUGGAUGAAAGCGGGGGACCGUAAGGCCUCGCGCGAUUGGAGCGGCCGAUGUCAGAUUAGGUAGUUGGUGGGGUAAAGGCUCACCAAGCCAACGAUCUGUAGCUGGUCUGAGAGGACGACCAGCCACACUGGGACUGAGACACGGCCCAGACUCCUACGGGAGGCAGCAGUGGGGAAUUUUGGACAAUGGGGGCAACCCUGAUCCAGCAAUGCCGCGUGCAGGAAGAAGGCCUUCGGGUUGUAAACUGCUUUUGUACGGAACGAAACGGUCUGGGUUAAUACCCUGGGCUAAUGACGGUACCGUAAGAAUAAGCACCGGCUAACUACGUGCCAGCCGCCGCCGUAAGAC
rnacentral:rRNA from 1 species